UAGGGAAUAUUGCAAAAUGGGCGAAAGCCCGAUGCAGCAACGCCGCGUGGGCGAUGAAGGCCUUCGGGUCGUAAAGCCCUUUUUGAGGGGAUGAGGAAGGACAGUACCCUCAGAAUAAGCCUCGGCUAACUACGUGCCAGCAGCCGCGGUAAAACGUAGGAGGCGAGCGUUAUCCGGAUUUACUGGGCGUAAAGCGCGUGCAGGCGGAUUGGAGAGUUGGAUGUGAAAGCUCCCGGCUUAACUGGGAGAGGUCGUUCAAUACUUCCAGUCUUGAGUGCAGUAGAGGGAAGUGGAGUUCCGGGUGUAGUGGUGAAAUGCGUAGAUAUCCGGAGGAACACCAGUGGCGAAAGCGGCUUCCUGGACUGUAACUGACGCUCAGACGCGAAAGCUAGGGUAGCAAACG
rnacentral:rRNA from 1 species